rnacentral:rRNA from 1 species
ACGUAGGGUCCAAGCGUUAUCCGGAAUCACUGGGCGUAAAGCGUGCGUAGGUGGAUUGUUAAGUGUAAUGCGAAAUCCUGUGGCUCAACCAUAUGGACUGUAUUGCAUACUGGCUAUCUAGAGGACAUGAGAGGCAAAUGGAAUUACCGGUGUAGCAGUGAAAUGCGUAGAUAUCGGUAGGAACACCAAUGGCGAAGGCAGUUUGCUGGCAUGUAUCUGACGCUAAGGCACGAAAGCGUGGGGAGCGAACAGGA